UACGGAGGGGCUAGCGUUGUUCGGAAUUACUGGGCGUAAAGCGCACGUAGGCGGCUUGUAAGUUAGAGGUGAAAGCCCAGAGCUCAACUCUGGAACUGCCUUUAAGACUGCAUCGCUUGAAUCAUGGAGAGGUUAGUGGAAUUCCGAGUGUAGAGGUGAAAUUCGUAGAUAUUCGGAAGAACACCAGUGGCGAAGGCGACUA
rnacentral:rRNA from 1 species